rnacentral:miRNA from 1 species
ACCUAUACACUGCCAGUAUAAAGUUUUUUUACACUGGCAACCAAUCAUAUCUUUUAAUAGUGUCUUUUUUAUUUUAAUUUGAUUAAAUAACCAAAUUAAUGACAUGGUACUAUUAAAAGAUAUGAUUGGUUGCCAAUGUAAAAAAACUUUACACUGUCAAUGUAUAAGU